CAACACAUUGUAGUGAGUAGAGAGUUAAGAGAGAAAUUCUCUUAAGUGUAAUUGGGAACUCUCCCCUUCCUUUGUUAAUAUUAAAAAGGCAACUGUUCUCUGGUGGACGUAGGAUUAUUUUGAUCUGAACCACGUUAAAUCUUGUGUUCUUUCUUUUACGUUUCCGCUAACAAAGAAUUGGUGUGGUCAGAUCCACAGUCGCAGCAAAUUCAUGGGCAGCUCCAAGAAAUUGUGGAGCAACAACAAUUUGAAGAAAAUUCGAUGAAUGCAGAUGAGAUUUUAGUCAUCGUACUUGGCGAACGAACUGGCUAUGUUGGUGGGAAAGGGUACGGAAAAAGACCUACAAAAAAGAGCCGAGCGCAGCAGGUAGAAUUAGAAGCAAGUACGUCUUCUUCAAUGGAAAGUAUGCGUCAAGAUAUGUAAGCUAAAAUGGACAGAAAAUUACAAGAAGAACGUGAACAAGCUGCUGAGUUGCAAAGAAAGUUGGAAGAACAAAUGGCUGCUGAAUUGUCACGGAAGCUAGAAGAUGAUCGUUUUGAGUUACAAAGAAAGCUAGAAGAAGAUCGUGCUGAGUUGCAAAAAAAAACUAGAAGAGGAGCGCGCACACAUGAAUCUACAACUUGACAAAAGAUUUCAAGAGCAGAUGGCUACGAUGAUGGCUAGAAUUCAAAAGGAACAAAGAACUUCAACAAUGAAGAAAUGAAGUUGCAGAAGAGCAGUUUACAAAUAUUGGAGUAGUUUGAAGUUUUUGGAGUAUUUUAAAGAAAUUUUAUUCUUUUCAUUGAGGACGUGCAAUUACAAUGUUACUUUAGAUUGUUUACAUUUUUACCAAUGAAAAGAUUAUAUACAAUUCUAUUUCGUGAAAUGUAUUGUUACCACUAUA